rnacentral:rRNA from 1 species
AUGUGACAAAUAUAACAAAAAUCAUGUGGCAAUGUAUGGCAAAGAUAAUCGUCACAACCCAAACAACCCUUAAGUGCCAAGACCCCACCCACGUUGACACGCCACCCACCCGGAAAAUCCCCCAAUCGGUCCAUCACAUCACCGAGUUCACCAUCGCCGGCAGCCCACCCACCAGGUUGACCCCCACAAAACCCCAGCUCGAGCACCCGGAGCCAUGGCCCUCCUCGCCACGACCCCACUCCUCGCGCCCCUCGCGCUCUCCCCGGCCCCGAUCUCCGCCUCCCAGAGCUCCCUCCUCUUCCUGCGCGCCCCCGCCCCCGCCCUCCUCUCGCUCCGCUCCGCCUCCCCCGGCGCACGCCUCCUCGCGGCGGUCGCGUCCAAGGAGCCCGAGCUCGGCGGCGGCGGAUCCGAAGGCGGUGACGGUGCGGGAUCUGGGAGGGGAGGCGGCGGGGGAAGUGACCCGCAGGGAGGCGGGGACGAGGGGGAGGAGGGGAAGAUGGGGGACGGGCUCUCCAUGUCGCAGAAGCUCACCCUCGCCUACGCCGCGCUCGUCGGAGCUGGUGGAGUGAUGGGGUACAUGAAGAGUGGAAGCCAGAAGUCAUUGGCUGCAGGAGGCAUAUCAGCCCUGGUGCUGUUCUUCGUUCACACUCAACUCCCAGUGAGACCAGUCUUUGCGUCGGCGAUCGGGUUAGGUAUAUCAGCUGCACUGCUGUCAGUCAUGGGAUCUCGCUUCAAGAAGUCCGGAAAGAUAUUCCCAGCUGGCGUUGUGUCCCUUCUUUCCUUGGUCAUGGUUGGCGGCUACGCCCAUGGGAUUAUGCGUAGCUCGCAUGCGUGAGAUGCAGUCAGUGUAGUUACCAUAUGCACUUCGGGAGUUAGACUUUUGUUGUUCUAGUGAAGUGUGUAUGGGCUGAUGGUGGAAAUCAAUAAUUUUGGGAA